GACUCAUGCUAGCGUUAUCCUUUUCUUAGUACCAUGUUGUUUUCCACAAGUCAGGAAAAUCCUCAAAAUGCAGUCUUAAUCUUUGAUUCCUUCCUAAAAGGAGAAAACACAUCAAAUCCAGAUCAUGCAUCCUCCAGUGAAGUAGAACACAUUUUGGUGGCUUAAAGAAGUAGUGUGUGCCAAAUGUCCUUGUUCCCCAAUAACAUCACAAACUACAGAAAAUGCAAAAGACCAGACUUGGUAAUUCAGAACAUAGGAAACAUCUGAGAAGACCAAAUACAAAUAUGUUGACAGAUUGCAUGAAGGCCUCAAUUCUUCAGCCCUCCCGAUGAAGUUGACCUUUGCCAU